CCUCGGGUGGCAGCAGUGGGGAAUAUUGGACAAUGGGCGAAAGCCUGAUCCAGCCAUGCCGCGUGUGUGAAGAAGGCCUUCGGGUUGUAAAGCACUUUCAGUGGGGAAGAAAGCCUUGGGGCUAAUACCCUCGAGGAAGGACAUCACCCACAGAAGAAGCACCGGCUAACUCCGUGCCAGCAGCCGCGGUAAUACGGAGGGUGCGAGCGUUAAUCGGAAUUACUGGGCGUAAAGCGCGCGUAGGCGGUCUGAUAAGCCGGUUGUGAAAGCCCCGGGCUCAACCUGGGAACGGCAUCCGGAACUGUCAGGCUAGAGUGCAGGAGAGGAAGGUAGAAUUCCCGGUGUAGCAGUGAAAUGCGUAGAGAUCGGGAGGAAUACCAGUGGCGAAGGCGGCCUUCUGGACUGACACUGACGCUGAGGUGCGAAAGCGUGGGUAGCAAACAGGAUUAGAUACCCGGGUAGUC
rnacentral:rRNA from 1 species